UACGUAGGGGGCGAGCGUUGUCCGGAAUGACUGGGCGUAAAGGGCGUGUAGGCGGCUGACUAAGUCUGGAGUGAAAGUCCUGGAUUCAAUUUGGGAAUAGCUUUGGAUACUGGUUAGCUUGAGUGCGGGAGAGGUAAGUGGAAUUCCCAGUGUAGCGGUGAAAUGCGUAGAGAUUGGGGGGAACACCAGUGGCGAAGGCGACUUACUGGGCCGUAACUGACGCUGAGGCGCGAAAGCGUGGGGAGCGAAC
rnacentral:rRNA from 1 species